UCGAGUGGCGGAACGGGUGAGUAACACGGUGGGUGAUCUGCCUGCACUUCGGGAUAAGCCUGGGAAACUGGGUCUAAUACCGGAUAGGAGCCAUUUUUAGUGUGAUGGUUGGAAAGUUUUUUCGGUGUAGGAUGAGCUCGCGGCCUAUCAGCUUGUUGGUGGGGUAAUGGCCUACCAAGGCGGCGACGGGUAGCCGGCCUGAGAGGGUGGACGGCCACAUUGGGACUGAGACACGGCCCAG
rnacentral:rRNA from 1 species